AUUGGGUUGUUAGCUGGAUGGAUGGGUGGGUCAGAGGAUGGUUGGAUGUUUCAGUGAUUGGGUUGUUGGAUGGAUGGAUCAGAUGAUGGUUGGAUGGAUGGAUGGAUCACAGGUUGGAUGGUUGGAUGUUUCAGUGAUUGGGUUGUUGGAUGGAUGGAUCAGAUGAUGGUUGGAUGGAUGGAUGGAUCACAGGUUGGAUGGUUGGAUGUUUCAGUGAUUGGGUUGUUGGAUGGAUGGAUCAGAUGAUGGUUGGAUGGAUGGAUGGAUCACAGGUUGGUUGGAUAGAUGGAUGGAUCACAGGUUGGUUGGAUGUGUCGGUAAUUGGGUUGUUAGCUGGAUGGAUGGGUGGGUCAGAGGAUGGUUGGAUGUUUCAGUGAUUGGGUUGUUGGAUGGAUGGAUCAGAUGAUGGUUGGAUGGAUGGAUGGAUCACAGGUUGGUUGGAUAUGUCGGUGAUUCGGUUGUUAGCUGGAUGGAUGGAUGAGUGGCUCAGAGGAUGGUUGGAUGUUUCAGUGAUUGGGUUGUUGGAUGGAUGAUGGACUAAAUUAGAUUAGAUGGAAUCUGUUUUAGCUGGCAAGAUUCUUAAUCCUUCAGAGGAUAAACGUUCAAGUAUUUGUAUUUGUAUUUUUUUAUAAGCUUGCUAAGCUAACAUCAGUUGUGCUUUGGUUCUAUUUAAGGCUAGAAGGAAGAGAGACGAGCAAAGAAUCCAAGUUUAGGACAUGCAGGAAAAGUUUAAGCCUCAACUGAGGUUCAUAAAGUUUCCCUAAAGCAGUCGAGCACGGACCACCCGUCAUUCGCAAUGAGAUUUUGAAUUGGUCUGAAUCCACAAACCCACAAACACUUCCACCGCACGUAGCAAUGUGACCACAACACAACCAACGGCCCACAAUGUGACAAACGCACAAACGUCAACGCUAACCGAAUGACUUCUCCAACCUCUGCCGACU